rnacentral:rRNA from 1 species
UACGUAGGGUGCAAGCGUUAAUCGGAAUUACUGGGCGUAAAGCGUGCGCAGGCGGUUAUGUAAGACAGUUGUGAAAUCCCCGGGCUCAACCUGGGAACUGCAUCUGUGACUGCAUAGCUAGAGUACGGUAGAGGGGGAUGGAAUUCCGCGUGUAGCAGUGAAAUGCGUAGAGAUGUGGAGGAACACCGAUGGCGAAGGCAGCCCCCUGGGUCAAGAUUGACGCUCAUGCACGAAAGCGUGGGGAGCAAACAGG